UACGUAGGGUCCGAGCGUUGUCCGGAAUUAUUGGGCGUAAAGGGCUCGUAGGCGGUUUGUCGCGUCGGGAGUGAAAACACGGGGCUUAACCCCGUGCCUGCUUCCGAUACGGGCAGACUAGAGGUAUGCAGGGGAGAACGGAAUUCCUGGUGUAGCGGUGAAAUGCGCAGAUAUCAGGAGGAACACCUGCGGCGAAGGCGGGUUGCUGGGCCGACACUGACGCUGAGGCGCGAAAGCUAGGGGAGCGAACGGG
rnacentral:rRNA from 1 species